rnacentral:rRNA from 1 species
UUUAAAGAAAGCGUAAUAGCUCACUAGUCGAGUCGGCCUGCGCGGAAGAUGUAACGGGGCUAAGCAAUAUACCGAAGCUGCGGCAGCAUGUUUACAUGCUGGGUAGGGGAGCGUUGUGUAAGUGGAUGAAGGUGAGUUGUAAAGCUUGCUGGACAUAUCACAAGUGCGAAUGCUGACAUGAGUAACGAUAAUGGGAGUGAAAAACUUCCACGCCGGAAGACCAAGGUUUCCUGUCCCAUGCUAAUCAGGGCAGGGUAAGUCGGCCCCUAAGGCGAGGCAGAAAUGCGUAGUCGAUGGGAAACGGAUUAAUAUUUCCGUACUUAUAUAAUCAGUGAUGGAGGGACGGAGAAGGCUAGGCAAGCUUGGCGUUGGUUGUCCAAGUGAAAGUGUGUAGGCUGGGAUUUUAGGUAAAUCCGGAAUUCUAAGGCCGAGACACGAGACGAGCUCCCAAGGGAGUGAAGUUGUUGAUGCCCUGCUUCCAGGAAAAGCUUCUAAACUUAUGAUUAUAUGAACCGUACCCCAAACCGACACAGGUGGUCAGGUAGAGAAUACUAAGGCGCUUGAGAGAACUCGGGUGAAGGAACUCGGCAAAAUUGUACCGUAACUUCGGGAGAAGGUACGCCUCUGUUUGUGAACACUUCGCGUGGUAAGCAAAUGGAGGCCGCAGUGACCAGGUGGCUGGGACUGUUUAUUAAAAACACAGCACUCUGCAAACUCGUAAGAGGACGUAUAGGGUGUGACACCUGCCCGGUGCCGGAAGGUUAAUUGAUGGGGUUAGUCCUCGGACGAAGCUCUUGAUCGAAGCCCCGGUAAACGGCGGCCGUAACUAUAACGGUCCUAAGGUAGCGAAAUUCCUUGUCGGGUAAGUUCCGACCUGCACGAAUGGUGUAACCAUGGCCACGCUGUCUCCACCCGAGACUCAGUGAAAUUGAAAUCGCAGUGAAGAUGCUGUGUACCCGCACCUAGACGGAAAGACCCCGUGAACCUUUACUACAGCUUGGCACUGAACAUUGAACCUACAUGUGUAGGAUAGGUGGGAGGCUUUGAAGCACAGUCGCUAGAUUGUGUGGAGCCGUCCUUGAAAUACCACCCUUGUAUGUUUGAUGUUCUAACAUAGGUCCCUUAUCGGGAUUGUGGACAGUGUCUGGUGGGUAGUUUGACUGGGGCGGUCUCCUCCCAAAUAGUAACGGAGGAGCACGAAGGUUAGCUAAUCACGGUCGGACAUCGUGAGGUUAGUGCAAUGGCAUAAGCUAGCUUAACUGCGAGACAGACACGUCGAGCAGGUACGAAAGUAGGUCAUAGUGAUCCGGUGGUUCUGUAUGGAAGGGCCAUCGCUCAACGGAUAAAAGGUACUCCGGGGAUAACAGGCUGAUACCGCCCAAGAGUUCAUAUCGACGGCGGUGUUUGGCACCUCGAUGUCGGCUCAUCACAUCCUGGGGCUGAAGUCGGUCCCAAGGGUAUGGCUGUUCGCCAUUUAAAGUGGUACGCGAGCUGGGUUUAGAACGUCGUGAGACAGUUCGGUCCCUAUCUGGUGUGGGCGUUGGAUGAUUGAUGGGAGCUGCUCCUAGUACGAGAGGACCGGAGUGGACGAACCGCUGGUGUUCGGGUUGUCAUGCCAAUGGCAUUGCCCGGUAGCUAUGUUCGGAACGGAUAACCGCUGAAAGCAUCUAAGCGGGAAGCCGGCCCAAAGAUGAGUCAUCCCUGACCUUUAAGGUCUGGAAGGGUUGUUAUAGACGAUGACGUUGAUAGGCAGGGUGUGGAAGCGUUGUAAGGCGUUAAGCUAACCUGUACUAAUUGCCCGAGAGGCUUAACCAU